rnacentral:rRNA from 1 species
GACGAAUGCUGGCUGCGUGCUUAACACAUGCAAGUCGAACGGUGAAGGGGAGCUUGCUCCCCGGAUCAGUGGCGAACGGGUGAGUAACACGUGGGCAACCUGCCCCUCACUCUGGGAUAACUCCGGGAAACCGGGGCUAAUACCGGAUGCGACCGGGAGCGACAUCGCUCCUGGUGGAAAGAACUUCGGUGAGGGAUGGGCCCGCGGCCUAUCAGCUAGUUGGUGGGGUAACGGCCCACCAAGGCGACGACGGGUAGCCGGCCUGAGAGGGCGACCGGCCACACGGGGACUGAGACACGGCCCAGACUCCUACGGGAGGCAGCAGUGGGGAAUAUUGCGCAAUGGGCGAAAGCCUGACGCAGCGACGCAGCGUGAGGGACGAAGGCCUUCGGGUUGUAAACCUCUUUCAGCGGGGACGAAGCGAAAGUGACGGUACCCGCAGAAGAAGCACCGGCUAACUGCGUGCCAGCCGCCGCCGUAA